rnacentral:rRNA from 1 species
AUUUGGGCACUGUCUCAACGAGAGACUCGGUGAAAUUUUAGUACCUGUGAAGAUGCAGGUUACCCGCGACAGGACGGAAAGACCCCAUGGAGCUUUACUGCAGUUUGAUAUUGAGUAUCUGUACCACAUGUACAGGAUAGGUAGGAGCCAUUGACUUCGGGACGCCAGUUUCGAAUGAGGCGUUGUUGGGAUACUACCCUUGUGUUAUGGCUACUCUAACCCAGAUAGGUUAUCCCUAUCGGA